rnacentral:rRNA from 1 species
GAUGAACGCUAGCGACAGGCCUAACACAUGCAAGGUCGAGGGGCAGCACAUGAGUAGCAAUACGAUGGUGGCGACCGGCGCACGGGUGAGUAACACGUAUGCAACCGUGCCUGUAAGAGGGGAAUAACCCGGAGAAAUUCGGACUAAUACCGCAUAAUACCACGAGACUGCAUGGUUUUGUGGUUAAACAUUUAUGGCUUACAGAUGGGCAUGCGUAUGAUUAGAUAGUUGGUAGGGUAACGGCCUACCAAGUCUACGAUCAUUAGGGGUUCUGAGAGGAAGGUCCCCCACACUGGUACUGAGACACGGACCAGACUCCUACGGGAGGCAGCAGUGAGGAAUAUUGGUCAAUGGGCGAGAGCCUGAACCAGCCAAGUCGCGUGAAGGAAGAAGGUUCUAUGGAUUGUAAACUUCUUUUGCAGGGGAAUAAAGGACGGUACGUGUACUGUUUUGUAUGUACCUUGCGAAUAAGGAUCGGCUAACUCCGUG